rnacentral:rRNA from 1 species
UACGGAAGGCAGCAGUGGGGAAUAUUGGACAAUGGGCGAAAGCCUGAUGCAGCUAUGCCGCGUGUAUGAAGAAGGCCUUAGGGUUGUAAAGUACUUUUCAUCGGGGAGGAAAAAACAAAACUAAUAAUUUUAUUUCUUGACGUUACCCGAAAAAGAAGCACCGGCUAACUCCGUGCCAGCAGCCGCGGUAAUACGGAGGGUGCUAGCGUUAAUCAGAAUUACUGGGCGUAAAGAGCGCGUAGGUGGUUUUUUUAAGUCAGAUGUGAAAUCCCUGGGCUUAACCUGGAACUGCAUUUUUGAAACUGAAAUACUAGAGUAUCGUAGAGGGAGGUAGAAUUCUAGGUGUAGCGGUGAAAUGCGUAGAUAUCUGGAGGAAUACCUGUGGCGAAAGCGGCCUCCUAAACGAAUACUGACACUGAGGGUGCGAAAGCGUGGGGAGCAAACAGGGAUUUAGAUACC